rnacentral:rRNA from 1 species
UCUACGGGAGGCAGCAGUAAGGAAUAUUGGUCAAUGGACGCAAGUCUGAACCAGCCAUGCCGCGUGGAGGAUGAAGGUCCUCUGGAUUGUAAACUUCUUUUAUUUGGGAAGAAAUGCAUUUUUUCUAAAGUGCUUGACGGUACCAGAUGAAUAAGCACCGGCUAACUCCGUGCCAGCAGCCGCGGUAAU